CCCUUAGACGUUCUGGGCCGCACGCGCGCUACACUGACGAAGGCAACGAGCUUUCCUUUACCGAAAGGUACGGGUAAUCUUUUGAAACUUCGUCGUGCUGGGGAUAGAUCCUUGCAAUUUUUGAUCUUAAACGAGGAAUGCCUAGUAAGCGCAAGUCAUCAACUUGCGUUGAUUACGUCCCUGCCCUUUGUACACACCGCCCGUCGCUACUACCGAUUGAGUGCUCAGGUGAAUAAUUCGGACUGCAGCAAUGUUUGGAUCCCGAACGUUGCAGCGGAAAGUUUAGUGAACCUUAUCACUUAGAGGAAGGAGAAGUCGUAACA
rnacentral:rRNA from 1 species